rnacentral:rRNA from 1 species
UACGGGGGGAGCAAGCGUUGUUCGGAUUUACUGGGCGUAAAGGGUCUGUAGGUGGCCAACUAAGUCAGACGUGAAAUCCCUCAGCUUAACUGGGGAACUGCGUCUGAUACUGGAUGGCUUGAGUGUGGGAGAGGAAUGCGGAAUUCCAGGUGUAGCGGUGAAAUGCGUAGAUAUCUGGAGGAACACCGGUGGCGAAGGCGGCAUUCUGGACCAUAACUGACACUGAGAGACGAAAGCCAGGGGAGCAAACGGG